rnacentral:rRNA from 1 species
CAGCAGUGGGGAAUAUUGCACAAUGGAGGAAACUCUGAUGCAGCGACGCCGCGUGAAGGAUGAAGUAUUUCGGUAUGUAAACUUCUAUCAGCAGGGAAGAAAAUGACGGUACCUGACUAAGAAGCCCCGGCUAACUACGUGCCAGCAGCCGCGGUAAUACGUAGGGGGCAAGCGUUAUCCGGAUUUACUGGGUGUAAAGGGAGCGUAGACGGCACGGCAAGCCAGAUGUGAAAGCCCGGGGCUCAACCCCGGGACUGCAUUUGGAACUGUUGGGCUAGAGUGUCGGAGAGGCAAGUGGAAUUCCUAGUGUAGCGGUGAAAUGCGUAGAUAUUAGGAGGAACACCAGUGGCGAAGGCGGCUUGCUGGACGAUGACUGACGUUGAGGCUCGAAAGCGUGGGGAGCAAACAGGAUUAGA